rnacentral:miRNA from 1 species
ACCCGUCCCGUUCGUCCCCGGAC